UCUAGGAAGAGGAAGAAAGAGAGGGCCUAAGAGCUAUGGGAAUGAGGACAUGGAUGAAAACCUAACUUACUGGUUCUUUACCUCUUGUGUUGAGGUGGAAGUCGUGUUUGGUAUUUCCUGAUGCCUCUCAUUCCUAUCGUUCUUAAGCACUCCUUCCUCUUUCUUUUUGUU
rnacentral:pre_miRNA from 1 species